UCCCUUUUCCUCUUUCUGCCAUAGUGAUAAGGUUCGUCAGCACAAAAUCGGCCUCCGGUGGAGGGCAAGCUGCUCGACGGCGAUAACUCGCGCGACCGCGACGGCGAGUGGAGGAUCAGCUGAUUGGUGGCGAUAAAUCGCGCGACCAAGACGGGGGAGAGCGACGCAGUGCGGCGAGGAAUUUCAGUCGCUAUUGCGUCGAUAGCUCGUGCGACCGCGGCGGGGAAGAGACACGUCCGCGCGACGAGGGAGCCUAGCCGCUCGCUGCUGACAGCUCGCGCGACUGCGGCCUGUGCAGCAGAGGCGCAUCCGCACGACUACAGAGCUAAGUCGCUAGCUGAAGGCUUACGUCCAACACAACAAUGGAUGCAACCUGUUCGUGGGACUGUCGGAGACUUAGAAGUUCAAUUCAACAAAGCUGCCAACAUCUUUCCGUGCAAACUUUACAGAAUUGGUGAAAUUUGCACUCCAUCUUCCAAUAUCCGAAGUGGUCAAGUUUAAUUAAUUAGAGCUGGGUAAAGAAGGUGAGCCCGACCAAGCGGAGCUAGCCAGAUAUGGAGUUCUCAUUGCCGCCAUCCUCCGUUGCCCAUCAGGCCUGGCCUUUCAUAGGUGUGUACUCCAGAUCAUGUCGCGUCGCUGUUCUGCAGGGCCGGCCGUCCGGCUCAGGCCGGCCGGCCCUCUCCGGCUCUUCCACUCUCUCUCGGUCUCUCCCCUCCCCUCCAGCCGUCUCUCUCGGCCUCUCCCUCCCCUGCAGCAGCAGCAGCAGGGCGCUGGGCGGAGGAGAGACCGAGAGGGCCGGAGGCGGAAGGGAGAGUCGGAGCCCAAGGGCAGGGGAGGGAGAGCCCGAGAGAGCCGGCCGAAGGGAAGGGGAGGGACUGAGGGAGAGUGGAGGCGUGGGCAGCCGCCGGCGCGAAGAAGCCUCCUGCAGCGUGCCCUCUCCCCCUUCUAUGUCACUGGAUAAGAUAUAAGAAAGGAGCGCGGGGUUGAAUUCUAAAAAUUCAGGGGUUAAUGUAUAAAACCGAAUCGUUUUUUCAGAAUACCACUUAAAGAGGGACUGCGGGUUUAAUUUUACAAAACAUAAGGACUUUUUGUAAAAUGUGCAAUGACGGACGACCAGAAGCAUUAGCUGCUUUAUUAGUAGGGAAA